AUUGAACGCUGGCGGCAGGCCUAACACAUGCAAGUCGAGCGGAUGAAGGGAGCUUGCUCCUGGAUUCAGCGGCGGACGGGUGAGUAAUGCCUAGGAAUCUGCCUGGUAGUGGGGGAUAACGUCCGGAAACGGGCGCUAAUACCGCAUACGUCCUGAGGGAGAAAGUGGGGGAUCUUCGGACCUCACGCUAUCAGAUGAGCCUAGGUCGGAUUAGCUAGUUGGUGGGGUAAAGGCCUACCAAGGCGACGAUCCGUAACUGGUCUGAGAGGAUGAUCAGUCACACUGGAUCUGAGACACGGUCCAGACUCCUACGGGAGGCAGCAGUGGGGAAUAUUGGACAAAGGGCGAAAGCCUGAUCCAGCCAUGCCGCGUGUGUGAAGAAGGUCUUCGGAUUGUAAAGCACUUUAAGUUGGGAGGAAGGGCAGUAAGUUAAUACCUUGCUGUUUUGACGUUACCAACAGAAUAAGCACCGGCUAACUUCGUG
rnacentral:rRNA from 1 species